AACGAACGCUGGCGGCAUGCCUAACACAUGCAAGUCGAACGAGACCUUCGGGUCUAGUGGCGCGCGGGUGCGUAACGCGUGGGAACCUGCCUUUAGGUUCGGAAUAACUCAGAGAAAUUUGAGCUAAUACCGGAUGAUGUCUUCGGACCAAAGAUUUAUCGCCUUUAGAUGGGCCCGCGUUGGAUUAGCUAGUUGGUGGGGUAAAGGCCUACCAAGGCGACGAUCCAUAGCUGGUCUGAGAGGAUGAUCAGCCACACUGGGACUGAGACACGGCCCAGACUCCUACGGGAGGCAGCAGUGGGUAAUAUUGGACAAUGGGCGAAAGCCUGAUCCAGCAAUGCCGCGUGAGUGAUGAAGGCCUUAGGGUUGUAAAGCUCUUUUACCCGAGAUGAUAAUGACAGUAUCGGGAGAAUAAGCUCCGGCUAACUCCGUG
rnacentral:rRNA from 1 species